GGACCCGCACAAGCGGUGGAGUAUGUGGCUUAAUUCGAUGCAACGCGAAGAACCUUACCUGGGCUUGACAUGCAUCUCUAAGCGCGUGAAAGCGCGUGACCCUUCGGGGGAUUUGCACAGGUGCUGCAUGGCCGUCGUCAGCUCGUGUCGUGAGAUGUUGGGUUAAGUCCCGCAACGAGCGCAACCCUUGUGAUCAGUUGCCAGCGCGUCAAGGCGGGAACUCUGGUCAGACUGCCCAGAUCAACUGGGAGGAAGGUGGGGACGACGUCAGGUCAGUAUGGCCCUUACGCCCAGGGCUGCACACGUACUACAAUGCCCAGUACAAUGAGAACCGAUGCCGCGAGGUGGAGGAAAUCUGUAAAACUGGGCCCAGUUCGGAUUGGAGGCUGCAACUCGCCUCCAUGAAGUUGGAAUCGCUAGUAAUGGCGCAUCAUCUACGGCGCCGUGAAUACGUUCCCGGGUCUU
rnacentral:rRNA from 1 species